rnacentral:lncRNA from 1 species
CGGGGCGCCCCCUGCGGGAAGCGAGCGCGCCCCGGAAAAUGAGCGCCUCCCCACACCAAGGUGUCCAGGAGUGAGUGCGGGAAGGAACUCGGCCGCCCGGAGUUGUGGCCUCAUCGUGCUUCCCGCCAAAAACGCCUUGGUACUGUCGGGACGCGGCUAAGCGUGGACGCGCCCGCAUCUGCCCCUCCUCCGCAGUGGUGGAAGACACCCGCGGAGCGCCGGUGGAUAAGGGCCGUUUCCUGAGACCAGAGCUGUAUCCGCAGCAGGUCAGCACUUCGUGCGCCCUGUGUGCACCUGUAAGGAAUGGAAUUUAGGCCAGUCGGAUUUUCCAAAUGUGGAGUUGUGAUGCCCAGGCAGAAACUUCAGUUUCUUAGGACUGA